UUCCCGUCUUCCAGUGUGGGAUUCUUAUCCCAAUGGAUCGGAGGGGGCGUGGUUUGGAGGGACGGGGACGCGAACCGGCGCGUCGGCGAUCAGUCCUCCGACCAUAGAGAGGUGCGGGUAGAGCGGCGGCGCGCGCGCGCGCGCUGCCAAAGCAUCGCGAGACGAGGAGGGGAUAGAGCGGCUCCGCGCCCUCAGCGCCCCCGUGCGGGCGAGCGCGGCGGCGGCGGUUCCCAUGGAGAUGGAAGAUGGCGCCCAGGGGCCGCCAUCGCUCCUCGGCUCCGCUGCAGGUCCUGCUCUUCCUCAACGGCUGGUACUGCGCCACAUAUUUCCUCCUGGAAGCGUUCGUGUUCGUGUACAAAGUGCUGCUCCUGCCCUAUCCCGUCUCCAACUUGGUGGUGGACGUGGUGCUGCUCCUCCUCUACCUCGGCAUUGAGGCCACGCGCAUCUUCUUCGGCUCCAAGGGGAACCUGUGCGAGCGGAAGGUGCCGCUGUCCCUCAGCCUGGCACUUACGGUGCCGGCGGCCGUGCUGGCCGUGUACUACCUGCUGCUCCAGACGUAUUCCCUGCGCCUGGAAGCGUUCCUGAGCGCCAUCCUGCUCCUCUUCUACGGCCUGGAGCUGCUCCUGGGCUUCCUGGCGCUGCUCUCCUUCUCCAGUGCGGAUCCCUACUGAGGACACGGCCCGGGGACACAGGGAAGCGCCACCCCUGCCAGCUUCACUUCCUAGCCCCGGGAAGGGGGAGGAUCCCACUUUUCCCACUGCCCGUUUCACCUGCUGCCACCUGGACACAUCCCUCCCGCUUUUCCUGCUUCCCGCCUCACGAGGGACCUGCUGCCACACGGAUUCAUCCCUCCCUUUUCCCACUUCCCACUGUGCUCACUCCCCCCUGGACACAGCCCUCCCACCUUUCCCACUCUCCACUCCACCUGGCCUCACUCCUCAGAGCUUGAGCCAGCUCAAGGAAGGCAACAGGAGCGCUGUAUAAAAGACUGACAACGUCAUCCGAGUUUAUUACACAAUUCCAACCUAUCCAAAGACAAAUCUAAUCACUGCGAGCAGGAGGGGCGGCGCCUCGCCGGGGCUUCCAGGGAUUUGCUCUGCAAUUUGGGGGGGAAUUUUUUCCCCCCUCCACUAUUUGGAAGGAAACUAAAAAUCUGUGGCGCUCUGCUCCCUGCGCCGGCACCUCCUGCGGCCGCUGGUCCCGCAGCGCGGCUACCGGGGGGAUUCCCCCACGGAUUCCGGGAAGGAC